rnacentral:rRNA from 1 species
GAGUUUGAUCAUGGCUCAGGAUGAACGCUGGCGGCGUGCUUAACACAUGCAAGUCGAACGAUUAAAGCCCCUUCGGGGUGUAUAGAGUGGCGAACGGGUGAGUAACACGUGGGCAACCUGCCCUAGAGACCGGGACAACAGUUCGAAAGGACUGCUAAUACCGGAUGACGUGCGAUCUGCCAAGCGGAUCGCACUAAAUGGUAGCUUCGGCCUCCGCUCUGGGAUGGGCCCGCGCAGCAUUAGCUUGUUGGUGAGGUAACGGCUCACCAAGGCCACGAUGCUUAGCUGGUCUGAGAGGACGAUCAGCCACACUGGGACUGAGACACGGCCCAGACUCCUACGGGAGGCAGCAGUGGGGAAUCUUGCGCAAUGGGCGAAAGCCUGACGCAGCAACGCCGCGUGAGCGAAGACGGCCUUCGGGUUGUAAAGCUCUGUCAGGAGGGACGAAGCCACUCGGGUUAAUAGCCCAGAGGGUGACGGUACCUCCAGAGGAAGCCCCGGCUAACUACGUGCCAGCAGCCGCGGUAAUACGUAGGGGGCAAGCGUUGUCCGGAAUCAUUGGGCGUAAAGAGCGUGUAGGCGGCCAUCCAAGUCCGAUGUGAAAGCUCGGGGCUCAACCCCGAGUCUGGAUUGNAAACUGGGUGGCUAGAGUCCGGAAGAGGAGACUGGAAUUCCUGGUGUAGCGGUGAAAUGC